rnacentral:rRNA from 1 species
ACUGCUCAGUAACACGUAGUCAACAUAACCAGAGGACGUGGAUAAACUCGGGAAACUGAGGCUAAACCGCGAUAGACCAAGAUACCUGGAAUGGUUUUUGAUCAAAAUCUAUAUGGCCUUUGGAUUGGACUGCGACCGAUCAGGCUGUUGGUGAGGUAAUGGCCCACCAAACCAGUAACCGGUACGGGCUCUGAGAGGAGGAGCCCGGAGAUGGGUACUGAGACAAGGACCCAGGCCCUAUGGGGCGCAGCAGGCGCGAAACCUCUGCAAUAGGCGAAAGCCUGACAGGGUUAUUCUGAGUGACUUUCGCUAAGAAAGUCUUUUGACAUCUCUAAAAAUGGUGUAGAAUAAGGGGUGGGCAAGUCUGGUGUCAGCCGCCGCGGUAAUACCAGCACCCCGAGUGGUCGGGACGAUUAUUGGGCCUAAAGCAUCCGUAGCCGGUUUUACAAGUCCUCCGUUAAAUCCAACUGCUUAACAGAUGGGCCGCGGAGGAUACUAUAAGACUAGGAGGCAGGAGAGGCAAGCGGUACUCAGUGGGUAGGGGUAAAAUCCGUUGAUCCAUUGAAGACCACCAGUGGCGAAGGCGGCUUGCCAGAAUGCGCUCGACGGUGAGGGAUGAAAGCUGGGGGAGCAAACCGGAUUAGAUACCCGGGUAGUCCCAGCUGUAAACGAUGCAGACUCGGUGAUGGACUAGCUUAAUGCUAGUCCAGUGCCGCAGGGAAGCCGUUAAGUCUGCCGCCUGGGUAGUACGGUCGCAAGACUGAAACUUAAAGGAAUUGGCGGGGGAGCA